rnacentral:pre_miRNA from 1 species
AAUACAAUUGCUAGUUCAUAUGGUAAGAGGGUGUUUCAUUUUAUAAGUAAUUGCCAAACCAUCUUCCAAAGUGACUGAGUCAUUUUGCAUUCCCAUCAGUGAU